rnacentral:rRNA from 1 species
GACGAACGCUGGCGGCGUGCCUAAUACAUGCAAGUCGAACGAAGCUGUUUUAACUGGUGCUUGCACCGACUUAAACAACUGAGUGGCGAACGGGUGAGUAACACGUGGGUAACCUGCCCCAAAGCGGGGGAUAACAUUUGGAAACAGAUGCUAAUACCGCAUAACCACAGAAACCACAUGGUUUCUGUGUCAAAGAUGGUUUCGGCUAUCACUUUGGGAUGGACCCGCGGCGUAUUAGCUAGUUGGUAAGGUAAUGGCUUACCAAGGCAAUGAUACGUAGCCGGACUGAGAGGUUGAACGGCCACAUUGGGACUGAGACACGGCCCAAACUCCUACGGGAGGCAGCAGGAGGGAAUCUUCCACAAUGGACGAAAGUCUGAUGGAGCAACGCCGCGUGAGUGAAGAAGGUUUUCGGAUCGUAAAACUCUGUUGUCAGAGAAGAACGUGUGCGAGAGUAACUGCUCGUGCAGUGACGGUAUCUGGCCAGAAAGCCACGGCUAACUACGUGCCAGCAGCCGCAGUAA